rnacentral:hammerhead_ribozyme from 1 species
AUCCAGCUGACGUGUCCUAAGUUGGACAAAACGUGCUUCCUGGAU